rnacentral:lncRNA from 1 species
AAUAAAUGUCAGAAUAUCACAGACAGGGUUUCCAUAACUUCACUAAAAUAGAGUGAACUGACACAUUCAUAGUUGCUUAAAGCCAAAAGAUGAUAUGCAAAAUUAUUUGAUAGUGCCAAACAAGACAGACAUUCUAAGAAUGUAAGAGGUUCUUCAAUACUCCAGUGCACUUAGUAGAGUCACA